UCUCCUCCCGCUGUUUUGGUUUUCCAUUUGCAGAAAAUGGAAUUUUUAACUCAAAAUUCACUUCAGUAAUAUUGUUUUCUGCACGUCUUAAUGGUUUUUUAUUGUUUUCGGUUGAUUUGCUGCGAUCGGGGCUCAGAUUGCAUUUUCAGCGGAAGGAAAAAAAGAUACGAAAACAAAAUGAUCUUUUUAAGCAGUUUGAUAAAGACAGAAACACAGCACAGGAGUAACCAGUAAAAUGCCAGUCAGUUGUCCAGUAGAUUCCACGAAGUGAUUGGCGGUGGAAAUCGCAUGGGUAACGGAAGCAGUAUUAUUUUCUGUGGUGGUCUAACCGACAGGCGAGCAAAAGAGAUAGUCUGCAUAAACUGCAGUGGAGCAGCUUUGAUCUGCCUGUUACUGAGAACUUCUACGAGUUAUCGGAGCAAGUGCAGAGUACGUUCGAAUAGCUCCCGAAAUAUUUAUCUGACGGGGUAUGAGAUUACCGUUAAAGGCAUCGAGAGAUCGCCUUAGUAUAAACGAGCACUUAAUCGUUGAUGAUAUGGGUCUCGAGUAUCAGAAUGAAUGCGACGCAGGGAUGGUUCAAUCGUACUGUUUUAGUUACCUCUCGAGAUUUGCCCGGGCUGGUCACAACCGAUUGCCAAAGGAUGAAAACCAACAUUACUUGCGUCUUUAGAGGGGUAUCGAAAGAACCACAAAUUCGUGAUCGGUUCCCCCACGAACGUGGGAUCAUUAACUUACAUCGAUUCGCCUACCUGGAUCUUAACGAAGCUAAUGGCAAGCGGGUUAUGAGAUGUGCACCCCAAAUUCGUCAGAUUACGGGUUCGAUCCGGUAUGAUGGUCUGCUACUUGGCCCAAGCAAGCUCGUAAUGUGAGAGGAAUUUCGCAUAGAAUGCGUUCGUAUUAAUAUUGGAUCGCUUAAUCUUUCGGCCAAUCGCAAUUGUCAGAUCAUGGAUAUUCGUGAAACAAAACGAUGCUGUCCGUCGAAAGGAUACACUGCAAAGAUAAUAUUACUCGCAUUAUCAGUCGUAACGGCUUUUCUGGCUAAGUUUUGAAAUGGACACCAGGGUAUGCGUACCGACCGUUUACUUGAUCACAAGGCCUGAUUGUGACGAAUCUUGGAUCAAUGCAUUGCAUACUCAUCGUGGCGCUUCUGGAAAUCACAGACCAACAGACAUAACACUCGAAAACAAUGCUUCGCCUAAUAUAACGAUUAUUUUAAAUAUAGUUUUGGUUGGGGCUGUGGUCGUAUUUGCGAUAAGGCCGCGCCUGGCAUAUGCACAAGUAAGCUGAGGAUAGACCACUAGUGAAAAAUUGUUACCAGGCCCGAGGGAUAACCGACAAGCAAAUGAGUGUAUGGGACCGUGUAUAAAAGGAGGAGCUAGUGUUCUGGAAAAAAUGGCGGAUUGACUUUUUAGGGAUGAAUUUCCUCAUAGUGUUAUGUAUUUUAGUCUGUGUGGAAAUGGUGAUGAGUCCGGGAUCUUCCGUUAAGUAGGUACCGUUUUAACAUACUUUCUCAUAUUCCAAAUACCCUUGAAGGUGGUCGUAACCCAUUCUUACGUCAAUUUGCAAUGUAAAGUUUGUUCGCGACAAAAUAUAGAAACCUAAAAACACAUAGAUCUCUUGAUAUAUUCAAUCAAAAAUGAAAUAUUUUUCACAAAUAUGGACGUAUGACUUUUUUAUCUAAAAAUACAUAAUUCGUUGACAUGUUAAAGGCGCUUUCAAAAAUGAGUCGAAAGAAAUGCGUGUUAGAAAUAAAAUGUGCGGUCCAAACGGAAAUCAAAAGAUAUCUCAAUUGGAAUAGUUCUAAAAAGCUUGGCUAAUCGGCAAGCUCUGUUCGCACUGUUUCCAAAACGUCUAAUAAGGGAUUGUCGUUGGGUUGGGACGCUGUAUAGGUUGGGACAGCUCGAUAUUUUCGUUCCUAUGCAGUGUUGCCAUCUGUUAUUUUUAGCACAUACUAGACUCGAUCGUAGCUCACUUUUUAUACAAAGUUGAAGUUUUGGUUCAUUAUUGUCACAGAGGCACUAAGCAGUGUCAAAAAACGAGCGAAAAAUCUUUUGUUGUGCUGAUUUUUGCGCCAUCCAUCGCCAUGUCGUAUAGGUUGGGACACCAUACAAUUACGCAUGCGUACAAGAUUGCGUACAAGUUUUACAUGUAAAAACUGUGAGUCAGAUUAACUUUGUCAAAUGGAAGUAAAUAAGUCUUUCAGUUACUUAUUCUUAUUCUAAAAUACUUAUUAAUAAAUAAAUAUUAACCAAAAAAUAAAUAUAAUGCAUUAAAGUUUAAAUUGCCUUUAUUUAAAUUGUUUGAAGUGUCCCAACCUAUACGACACUUUUUUGUCGUUUUGCCGUCAUUUAGAAAGUUGAUCCUGAGUCUUAUUUAAAAUUGCAAGUAAACAUUUUCCAUUCGCAGACAUCAAGCCACAUAAUAUAUCUACAAAAUAGUGUACUACAAGCUAAAAAAAUAUUGUCAUGGAAACAAGAUAUCAGCCUCUAAGCAAACCCGUCCCAACCUAGACUACAUUCCCUUACUCGAUUGCCAUCAGCUAUAAAUAAAAGAAAUGCAAAAUACAAUCUUAAGAAACGACUAAAUGGAUUCGAUAGUGAGAUAAACAUUCUGUUCGUACACUAAUAAAAUAAUAAUAAAAUAAAAACGUCAAACGUGUUUGUACAUAAUUCGAAGCAUCAUUAAAGAACGAAGUCAUUGAAGGUAUUGAUUAUUCCGAAUUAUAGUGAUAGGCAGAAUAUGAGGGCUUAACACUUCUUCGAAAUUUGUAACGUGGAUAUUCUACCAAUUUUUCCUGUAUCGCAAUGGAUUACAAAACUUGGACGUAGAAGACUUCAAUUAAGCUUCAUGGCAUGAAACGAAAUGAAGUAUUAAAGUAAUUCUGAACGAUAGAGAAGUCUAAGCUUCUCAAGAAAUAAUUGGUUAAGCCGGUCUUCUGCAUCAGUAGGUGAACCAGUAAAAACUUCAUACCAACAGGAAGGUAGAAAGAAAAGACAGACAGGUCUGCGAACAAAUUAUAGUAACCGGUUUUUGGUAAGUUUACUUGUGAUUUGAGACAAACUGUUUUUUAGUCUCUCAUUUGCCUGCUUUUGAUUUUUCCCAACAAUUCGUCAUUUCAGAAAUUAAGUACCCUCUAAACUGCCGUUAAGAUCGUAUUCGUUCCAUGUUCUAUGAGAUUCCUUACAUACAUAAGACAAUUAUGCGUUGAGCGACACUGAAAAGGUCAGUUGGACAUUCCAUCUUGGAAUAUAAUAAAUACAAACAAAUAAAUAAAUAAAGCGAUUUUAAUGCAAUCUGGCAAUAGCAGCACACAAAAAGGACACCAGUGUACAUUCUAUCUCUGCUCAAGCUAGUGCUAUAAGAAAGUUAAGCAAUCGA